AUCUGGGCUUCCACCACUUUGCCUGCACCUUCCUCUUCCUCCUCCAUCGAUCUCCUGCGCCGCCGACCGUCCUCCGCUCGGAACAACCGUACGCCUCCGCCUCCGCCUCUCUUCCUGGUCGCCCGUGCCCCCAUUGUUUCUAACCCUGCCACAUCAGAACCAUCUCCCCCACGGCCUGCAACGCGAUCUAUCUUGGUCCGCAUGGGGCGCCAUGCUUCCUCCGCCCGCUCCGGCUAAUCCCGCCCACGGAUGGACAGCGGGUUCGUCCGCCAGCGCCGGCAAAUCCCCCCGACGGCUGGACAGGGAGAUGACCUUACCAAUUUCACAGCCGUAGGCUGGACUCCUUAAACGCGGUCGAUCGAAAUCGGAGGUCCAUGUACUAAAUGCGAACAACGGCCCUCGUUCCGUUCGCAGACCGGACCAGAGUUAACUGUAUUUCCCGGCGACUUUAAUGAUGGAUUCAUGGUGGUAAUUUCGACCCAUUCAUUAUCAUUCUUCUAAUUAUGCCACAACCUCGACCAUCGACUCGUCAGCUCGCCCGGUGGUUGCGCUGGUGACCCAGCGACCGGCGUCCCGAUGCGUGCUUCUGUCCAAGACGGCCACCGCGCUUCCGCCCUAUAUCCAUUGCCUUCCCUGCACAGGUGCAAGGGGGAGGAGUAGCAGUCCUCUAUCGUGUAUGUAUUUCUUGCUAUAAUCUCAAGAAUUGUUGUUUACUAGACUACUAGGUGUAUGGUAUGCUAUCAUUGUAUGAACUCUAAAUCUAUAUUUUAUAUUUCAAGUGCUCUUUAUUUUAACUAUGCUCGAAUAAUAUAAUUCUAUGUGCACCCCGUAUGUGUCAUAUGUUCAAAAUUGUAAUUGUUAGUAAUGUACUAAUGUUAACACGGGCAUAGCUUGUUCUUGCAACUUCGAUUGCCUUCACCGGAUGAUGGGUUAAUAAAUGAACACAAUGCAUCAUCAGGGCGAGAAGCAUUCCAACUGCUGCUUACAACUCAUAGCAAGUAAAAACUGUCUAUACUGUUUUCAGAGGUGCAACAUUAUAUGUUGGUGGCUAUAUGCCUGUAUGGGCAUGAUGAUGGUAAUUUUUCAGAUUGGAUAAUUGUUUAAUUGCUCUUUUUGCAUGUGGUUGGUAAACUCAGCAAAUCGUUGGCCUGGUCAUCACAAUCUUUCCAGGAACAAGAGGUUUGUUAUUCUCAGAAAUCCACAUGAUAUUGAAGGAGACUAGGAAAGGCUUUGAAACAAAAUUAAUGGAAAGGUAGCUGAGCUGGAUGCCUGAGUAGGUGGACAUGGAGAAGUGAAGCAAAUGCUAUCCUUAUUCUAUAUAUGGUCUCCCGAGAUUCGCAGAUUGUUGGUGGCUUCAGUUUUCUACUCAUGAGAUGAUUCAUGCAUGGUUGUGUAAAGUUAGAAUAAAACAUCCCGUUCUUCUGUUUGUUUCUAAUACCUCCCCCCUCAUUUCUAUCUUGCAUUCAUAAGUAGCUCUCCGGAGAUUCCGGUGUAAUUUUCACGGAUUCACAUCUCGGGAUGGAAAUAAGAAGCCAGCGAAGAAGGUGAACGGACGUCAGGAAGAUUCUAGAGAGAGCGACUAGUCUUGAAUCCUUGAUGAGUGGGAAUCCAUGCAUAAAGAAAUCAGGGUGGAGUAAAAUAUCAUGCUUCUACAAAUGAUCUCAUUUGGAAGCAAGGAAAACUCUACUGAAUUUGAUGACAGCCAUGCAAGGUGGCAGAUUCAUAGACGGUUGGCGUUCAUGUGAUUGACGGUAAAAAAUAUUUAACAAACCAAGCCAUGAUAUCCCCAGCACAACUGAAUCCAAAGGUAAGAACAAAGCUUGUCAGGUAAGGAAGAAUCCAUCCUCUGGUUUUCACCUCUUACUUUUGAAGAUGGACAACGGGAGAGUUUUCCACAUCAAUCUUUAUUAUAAAUCAGUAACAUACAUAAUAUUUACAACCUUUGUCUCAUUUUCAUAUGCAUAAUGUGUCUUGUUCCGUGUGUUGUUUGAACCAAAAGAAGUAAUGUUCAUUACAACAUGUUCUCCUAGGUUUUCUGAUGCAAGUAACCUUGUAGUUACAGUUUUGUAAUGACUUGAUACUGAAGUGUAGAAUCUACGUAACUUAGAAAAUACUUCAGUUAGGAUCUUCCUAAUGGAAAUAAUAUUACAUUGGACUGUAUAUGCUAAUCUUGUUUGCUGAAAAAUGAUGAAUUUUUAAGAUAUACACGUAUUAUGUGGGUCUGAACCAAAAUAGCAUCAUGAUGCAGUGCCGUUAUUGAUUUAGGAGGCCUGCAAUUGUGUAGUCGCAGAUACUUGCAAGAUUUGUAUUGAGCCAAGGUUACUGCAAACAUUAGGCUAUUACUGACAUGAUAGUUUAGAAUGAUUUCUGGCUGAUUAUGCUAGAAACUUUAUCUCAUCUAUUUUUAGGGAGCACGAUUCAGACGUGUAAGUUUGAACCAUGCACAUAGUGCCUCUUUAAUUAAGAAAACUAUGUAGCCUCCAAUUAUUAUCAUAUCUUUUAUUUUUAUUAAUCAAAAUUUCGAGAUCUAGGUUUUAAGGUUUAGCAAUGCCCUUGGUGCCUUCAGGUUUGUUUUUUGGAGUUGUGCAUGCGCUUUCUGUUGAGAAUCCUAAUGCAUAGUUAUUCUUUUGAAGUGAAGCUACAUGUUAUUUUGUGAAUGUUUAACAUCGCUAUUGUUGUAAAGGUCUUCCUAAUCUAUUUGGUAAUCUGUUUUGAUUAAAAAAUGGUGCACAAGUUGUUCCAGAUUAAAAAAACCAAUAUGAUACAUGUUAUUUUGUUAAUGUUUAACAUCGCUAUUGUUGUAAAGGUCUUCCUAAUUGGUAAUCUGUUUCGAUUAAGAAAUGGUGCACAAGUUGUUCCAGAUUAAAAAAAACAAUAUGAUACAAUGCCAUAACCGAUUUUGGAGACUUAAGAGAUAUGUAUUGACCCAAGGUUACUGCAGAAGGUUGUGGAACGUAGCAUGCCUUUUUAAUGCUGAAAUUAAGAAGAAUGUUUCUUGAAGCCUUGCUGACAUUUAGAACAUCACCACUAUCUGUAGUAAUCAGAUCUGUUUGUGCCUUCAUAUAUUUUCGUCAUUAGUUGUGUGUUCUUUUACUGGGCAUCCCCGUAGCGCUAUCAAUCGAGAAGUCUAUUGCAUACUAUUAUUUCUUGAAAUACAAUAUAUGUGAAGGCUCAGUCAUUCUCCUGUUGUAAAUGUCUUUCUCAGGAUCUUCUUAGUAUUAGCUAUUAUCAUCAAGGAUGAGGCGUUGGUCCAAAUAUCUGAUUGAGACAGCAACUCUUCCAUUCCAGUAAACUGAAGAUAGUAUAAAGCGAAAACGAUAGCAGUGAGAUAAAAUUGAAGACUGUACUAGGGAUAGAACAUUAGAACACCUGCUGUGAGCUGAUAGGCGUUUGCAGACUCCGAUACAACCACACGUUUUGGAUGUUUUCGUAACAAGGUUACAUUGCUAGCUACACACCCAUAUAAGAGAUUUUUCAGAACCAAACAUUACGCUGUCUACCUCAGCCAUCGUAAUUUGGUAUAACUUUACACCAUGAGGAUGGUGCUGAUUGUACUCUUGUCUUUGAUGGAUGUAUUUUCUUCACUAACUCGUGACAUAUGGCUGGUUAGAGGUGGGUGUUCGUGUUUACUGGGAUAGCCAGUACACUGUACUUUUUCUACUCUACCAAUAGAUUGAUGGUGGUCACCUCUUUCUGAAAUGCAAAUCGGUGAAGAAGUUGUGGCAAGACCUAAAGCUAGAAGAUCUUCGUGACAAAUGGUGUGAAUUCACUGACCCAAAAGAUUUUGUUGAGGCUGUUUUGCAGACUGAUAUGAGUAGAAGCAUUCUUUGCCUUGCCCUCCUAUGGAACUGGUGGAUGACGAGGAUCAAAGUGUAUGCGGAAAAUAAAAUUUUCACUCAUGAGCAUGUGCUGGGACAAAUCCGCAAGAUGGCCCGAGAUUACACCGAGUUCUUCGCAAGGGAGCAAAAGGAGAAAAUGUCUGUACAACAAUCCUGGCAAGCACCUCCGCAGGAUAUACAGAAGGUCAAUAUUGAUGGUAGUUUUUCAGCUCAAGAUAGGAGUGGUGGAUGGGGUUUCAUUAUCCGAGACUCUGAUGGAGAUACUAUAUGCUCUGGAGCUGGUCGCAUUCCCCAUGCCCAGGAUGCUCUCCAAACUGAGGCUGUAGCUUGCAUCCAAGCUAUGCAGGUGGCGGAAGAACAAGGCAUGAUUGAUAUCAAUGUUGAAACUGAUGCUUUAUUGCUGGUUCAAGCAAUCCACUCGAUAGAGUCUGAUAUUGCACCAAAUGGAGUGCUUUUCCGGGAGAUAAAAGCUCUAGCAAGUUUGAACUUCA